rnacentral:rRNA from 1 species
GGGUGCGAUCAUACCAGCACCAAUGCACCGGAUCCCAUCAGAACUCCGCAGUUAAGCGUGCUUGGGCGAGAGUAGUACUAAGUUGGGUGACCACUUGGGAAGUCCUCGUGUUGCACCCCUUU